UACGGGGGGGGGCAAGCGUUGUUCGGAAUUACUGGGCGUAAAGGGCUCGUAGGCGGCCAACUAAGUCAGACGUGAAAUCCCUCGGCUUAACCGGGGAACUGCGUCUGAUACUGGAUGGCUUGAGGUUGGGAGAGGGAUGCGGAAUUCCAGGUGUAGCGGUGAAAUGCGUAGAUAUCAGGAGGAACACCGGUGGCGAAGGCGGUUCUCUGGGCAUUACCUGACGCUGAGGAGCGAAAGUGCGGGGAGCGAACAGG
rnacentral:rRNA from 1 species